GAUGAACGCUGGCGGCGUGCCUAAUACAUGCAAGUCGAGCGAACGGACGAGAAGCUUGCUUCUCUGAUGUUAGCGGCGGACGGGUGAGUAACACGUGGAUAACCUACCUAUAAGACUGGGAUAACUUCGGGAAACCGGAGCUAAUACCGGAUAAUAUUUUGAACCGCAUGGUUCAAAAGUGAAAGACGGUCUUGCUGUCACUUAUAGAUGGAUCCGCGCUGCAUUAGCUAGUUGGUAAGGUAACGGCUUACCAAGGCAACGAUGCAUAGCCGACCUGAGAGGGGGUCCGGCCCCCCUGGACCUGAGCCCCGGCCCGGCCUCCUACGGGGGGCAGCAGUGGGGAUCUUUCCGCAAGGGGGGAAACCCUGACGGAGCAACGCCGCGGGAGUGAUGAAGGUCUUCGGUUCGUAAACCUUUUUUUUUGGGGAAAAACAUAUUUGUAAGUAACUGUGCCAUUCUUGCCGGUCCCUAAUCAAAAAGCCCCGGCUACCUCCGU
rnacentral:rRNA from 1 species